rnacentral:rRNA from 1 species
CCUACGGGAGGCAGCAGUGAGGAAUAUUGGUCAAUGGCCGCAGGGCUGAACCAGCCAAGUCGCGUGAGGGAUGACGGUCCUAUGGAUUGUAAACCUCUUUUGUCAGGGAGCAAAGGGCGCCACGUGUGGCGCUUUGCGAGUACCUGACGAACAAGCAUCGGCUAACUCCGUGCCAGCCGCCGCGGUAAUACGGGGGAUGCGAGGGUUAUCCGGAUUUAUUGGGUUAAAAGGGUGCGUGGGCGGAAGGUCAAGUCAGCGGUAAAAUUUCGGGGCGCAACCCCGUAGUGCCGUUGAAACUGGCGUUCUUGAGUGAGCGAGAAGUAUGCGGAAUGCGUGGUGUAGCGGUGAAAUGCAUAGAUAUCACGCAGAACUCCGAUUGCGAAGGCAGCAUACCGGCGCUCAACUGACGCUCAUGCACGAAAGCGUGGGUAUCGAACAGGAUUAGAUACCCUGGUAGUC